UCUGAAUUUUUACUAAGGUAGACAGGGGAUGCCUAGGUAGUAAGAGCCGAGGAAGGACGCAGCUUGCGGCGAUACUCGUCGGGGAGGAGCAUAGCAUCCAUCGAUCCGGCGGUUUCCGAAUGGGGUAACCCUCCCAGCUUUGCUGGGAAGUCUGUCAUGAAUACAUAGUGGCAGGUAGGACACCCGGGGAACUGAAACAUCUAAGUACCCGGAGGAAAAGAAAACAAAGUGAUUCCGUAAGUAGCGGUGAGCGAAAGCGGACCAGCCUAAACCCCGAUUUAAUCGGGGGGUUGUGGGGCAAGAGACAUAGGAUUUGUUGCGGGUAGAAGAACACCUUGGAAUAGGUGGCCAUAGAGAGUGAAAGCCUCGUAUUCGAAACCCAAGACAACCUUAUUUUGUACCCAAGUACCAUGGGGAAAGUACCUUGUGGGAAUCUGGGGCGGCCACGCCCUAAGGCUAAAUACUCUUACUGACCGAUAGUGAACAAGUACCGUGAGGGAAAGGUGAAAAGAACCCCGGUGAGGGGAGUGAAAUAGAAUCUGAAACUGUCUACUACCAAACAGACAGAGCUUGUGUGGAGCACAAGAAUUUGAAAUUUGAAAUUUAAAAUUUUUAAUCAAUUUUUAAUGUUUGAAAAUUUAAUAAUUUAAGCAUUUAGAUUUGAUUUCAAAUUGAAAAUUAAGAAUUUAAAAUUCUCGCGCUCUGCGCGAGUAAUGUCGUGCCUAUUGAAGAAUGAACCGGCGAGUGUUCGUCAAAUCGUUAGUCUAAGCUAAUUUUUAGCGGAGGCGUAGGGAAACCAAGUCUUAACAGGGCGAAAUUAUACGAUUUGAUGGAUGACCCGAAACCGGGUGAGCUUACCAUGAGCAGGGUGAACCCGCUUUAAACGGCGUGGGAAGGCCCGAACUCGUUGUCGUUGCAAUGACAUGAGAUGACUUGUGGUAAGGGGUAAUAUGCCAAACGAACCCGGAGAUAGCUGGUUCUCCCCGAAAUAUAUAUAGGUAUAGCGGUACGUCAUGUGUUUGUCGGGGUAGAGCACUCGAUGGAUCAGGUGGGGUAACCCAUCUCGUUCAACGAAACUCCGAAUACGAUAAACAUUAACGUGCUAGUCAGUCUCAUCGGGCUAAGCUGAUGAGGCAAGAGGGAAACAUCCCAGACUCUCGUCUAAGGUCUCUAAAUUUUUGUUAAGUGGGAAAGGAAGUAUUUUUCCAUAGACACCCAGGAGGUUGGCUCAGAAGCAGCCAUCCUUUAAAGAAAGCGUAACAGCUCACUGGACGAUGGAAGAGUGCGCCGAAAAUUUAUCGAGGCUAAAACAAAAUACCGAAGACGGAGAAUAACACGCUUUUGCGUGGGAUUAGUAGGGGAGCGUUCCGACGGCAGUGAAGGUGGACCGUAAGGUUAGCUGGAGUAGUCGGAAGUGAGAAUGCCGGUAUGAGUAGCGAAAUGUUGAUGAGAAUUCAGCACGCCGAAUGCCCAAGGUUUCCGUCUCAACGUUCGUCGGAGACGGGUUAGUCGGGACCUAAGGUGAGUCCCCGCCACUUUUGCUAAGGAGAGUUUUUGGAGUUUCCGAAGAGUAAGCCGCAAGGCGCCUUCGGCUUCCAGAUUUGAAUUUCUAAAGUAUUUCGUUGGCAAAAGGGCGGGGGGUAGCCGAUGGACAAACUGUUUAUAUUCAGUUACAAGGGAAAGACCGUUAUUUACAAGCGGAGUUUGGAAACAAGCUUUGCUUAUUACCUGGGGAUGGACGAUGAUGGAAAGGUCAAGCUCCGAAUUGAUACGGAGUUUAAAUCAUAAAGUAGUUUUUAUUGGCAAAUCCAUAAAAACGUUUAACUAAGUGAUGAAUAAGAGCCUGCGACGCAAGUUAAGGGCAAUUUGACUAUUUUCAACACCCAAGAAAAGAUUCGCAGGGAGGGCUUUUCUUUCCCGUACCAAAACCGACACAGGUGGGUUGGUCGAGUAGACUAAGGCGAGUGGGUAACAGAGGUUUAAGGAACUAGGCAAAAAAGCUGGGCGUAACUUAUUGGAGAUGCCCUUCCGUCAAUUUGACGGACGCAGCUAAAGAUUAUCGGGCGACUGUUUAACUAAAACACAGGUCUCUGCAAACCCGUAAGGGUAUAUAUAGGGGCUGAGGCCUGCCCAGUGCCGGAAGGUUAAUUGAGGGGGUGACUCGUCGCAAGGCGAAGAGCUUCCAAUCGAAGCCCCGGUGAACGGCAGCAGUAACUAUAACUGUUCUACGGUAGCGAAGUUCCUUGUCGAGUAAGUUUCGACGCGCAUGAAUGGUGUAACGACCUGAUAACUGUCUUGAACCUCUACCCAGCGAAAUUGAAAUGGCUGUGAAGAUGCGGCCUAGAUGUACUUGGACAAAAAGACCCCGUGGAGCUUUACUACAACUUGGCGCUGGAAUGAAAUUUGGAAUUGUCUAGUGUAGGAGGGAGUCCCGAUUUAAUCGGGACGACAAUGUAACACCUCUCUUUUUAACUUUCAAACCUUACUUAUAAACCCUGCAAACGGGUUUAGGGAAAGCGUCAGGCCGGUAGUUUGACUGGGGAAGUCGCUUGCUAAAGAGUAACGCGAGUGCACCAAGGUUGGCUUGUUCCGGAUGGAAAUCGGAACGUAAGUGUAAAGGCAUAAGCCAGCUUGACUGCGAGGCCGACGGGCCGAGCAGGGUCGAAAGACGGUCUUAAUGAUCCCCCGCCCUCUAGUGGUAGAGGCGGGGCUUAACGGAUAAAAGCUACCCCGGGGAUAACAGGCUAAUCGCGCCCGAGCGUCCAUAGCGACGGCGCGGUUUGGCACCUCGAUGUCGGCUCAUCGCAUCCUGGGGCUGAAGAAGGUCCCAAGGGUUGGUCUGUUCGCCCAUUAAAGCGGUACGCGAGCUGGGUUCAGAACGUCGUGAGACAGUUGAGUCUGUAUACAUUUCAGACUGACAAUUACGAGCUGUCUAUCCUUUCAAACGUUUCUGGACAAAAGAAAACCUGUUAUUUAAAGAAAGGUCUCGAGCGGGGCUCGAGAAUAAAUCUGGCUAUAUGCUGGAAAGUCUUGCUAAAUGAUAACCUACUAGUAUAUGAUUUAUUCACUAGUAAAAAUGGUUGUCCUGAGAUAAUCAGCAGGAAAGACCAUGUUCGAAUUGGAAAUUUAAAAUUUGAAAUUUUUAAUCAAAUAUAAAUUUUUAAAAUUUAAUUUUAAAACAUUGAAAAUUGAUUUCAAAUUAAAAACUGAAAAUUGAAAAUUUGAUCUGGAAUCCUCACAGGCCAUACGCCAGAUCCGUCCACCUUUUUGUGGUGGCCGAGAAAGAUAUGGUCGGACCCUUAUGGUGACAUAAGGAACCAGUAAAAACUGGUCAUAGUAACAAUAAUGUCGGACUCUAUCCAGUACAUCCGUUGGAUUCUUGAAGGAAGCUGGCCACAGUACGAGAGGACCUGGCUGGGGGAAUCCCUGGUUUACCAGCUGUCAUAUCAAUGGCAACGUUGGGUAGCCACAUUCCUUCGUGAUAACUGCUGAAAGCAUCUAAGCGGGAAGCACAUCCUAAGAUUAGGAAUCCUUAUCAGACCCCUUGUAGACCACAAGGUUGAUGAGCGAAAGCUCGUCGUCCACCUUCGGGUGGAGAUAGGCAACAGGUGUAAGUAUGGCAACAUAUUUAGCCAAGUUGUACUAAUCGGUCGAUAAAAUUUAGACU
rnacentral:rRNA from 1 species